rnacentral:snRNA from 1 species
GUGCUUGUUUCAUCAGCACUGAAAUUGGAACAAUUCAGAGAAAAUUAGCAUGGCUACUGUGCAAGGAACACAAAAAUUCAUGAAGUGUCCUGUAUAUUU